rnacentral:rRNA from 1 species
GGAUGAACGCUAGCGGCAGGCCUAACACAUGCAAGUCGAGGGGCAGCACGGUGUAGCAAUACACUGGUGGCGACCGGCGCACGGGUGCGUAACGCGUAUGCAACCUACCCAUAACAGGGGGAUAACACUGAGAAAUUGGUACUAAUACCCCAUAACAUCAGGACCGGCAUCGGUUCUGGUUGAAAACUCCGGUGGUUAUGGAUGGGCAUGCGUUGUAUUAGCUGGUUGGUGAGGUAACGGCUCACCAAGGCGACGAUACAUAGGGGGACUGAGAGGUUAACCCCCCACAUUGGUACUGAGACACGGACCAAACUCCUACGGGAGGCAGCAGUGAGGAAUAUUGGUCAAUGGACGCAAGUCUGAACCAGCCAUGCCGCGUGCAGGAAGACGGCUCUAUGAGUUGUAAACUGCUUUUGUACGAGGGUAAACGCUCUUACGUGUAAGAGCCUGAAAGUAUCGUACGAAUAAGGAUCGGCUAACUCCGUGCCAGCAGCCGCGGUAAUACGGAGGAUCCAAGCGUUAUCCGGAUUUAUUGGGUUUAAAGGGUGCGUAGGCGGUUUGAUAAGUUAGAGGUGAAAUACCGGGGCUCAACUCCGGAACUGCCUCUAAUACUGUUGAACUAGAGAGUAGUUGCGGUAGGCGGAAUGUAUGGUGUAGCGGUGAAAUGCUUAGAGAUCAUACAGAACACCGAUUGCGAAGGCAGCUUACCAAACUAUAUCUGACGUUGAGGCACGAAAGCGUGGGGAGCAAACAGGAUUAGAUACCCUGGUAGUCCACGCAGUAAACGAUGAUAACUCGUUGUCGGCGAUACACAGUCGGUGACUAAGCGAAAGCGAUAAGUUAUCCACCUGGGGAGUACGUUCGCAAGAAUGAAACUCAAAGGAAUUGACGGGGGCCCGCACAAGCGGAGGAACAUGUG